UUUGACAUCCCUAUCGCGGAUCGUGGAGACACUUUCCUUCAGUUCGGCUGGAUAGGUGACAGGUGCUGCAUGGCUGUCGUCAGCUCGUGUCGUGAGAUGUUGGGUUAAGUCCCGCAACGAGCGCAACCCUCGCCUUUAGUUGCCAGCAUUUAGUUGGGCACUCUAAAGGAACCGCCAGUGAUAAGCCGGAGGAAGGUGGGGAUGACGUCAAGUCCUCAUGGCCCUUACGCGUUGGGCUACACACGUGCUACAAUGGCGACUACAGUGGGCAGCCACCUCGCGAGAGGGAGCUAAUCUCCAAAAGUCGUCUCAGUUCGGAUCGUUCUCUGCAACUCGAGAGCGUGAAGGCGGAAUCGCUAGUAAUCGCGGAUCAGCAUGCCGCGGUGAAUACGUUCCCAGGCCUUGUACACACCGCCCGUCACACCAUGGGAGUUGGAUUCACUCGAAGGCGUUGAGCUAACCGUAAGGAGGCAGGCGACCACAGUGGGUUUAGCGACUGGGGUGAAGUCGUAACAAGGUAGCCGUAGGGGAACCUGCGGCUGGAUCACCUCCUUA
rnacentral:rRNA from 1 species